UCAAUAACCCUCUCAGACUCUCACUCACUCACUCGGCCGUCUCUCUCUCUCUCUCUCUCACUCACGAAACUCACGAAACCAAACCCUACACUAUUUCUCUCCCGAUCUGAGACUAACCCUCACCUCAUCGGCCGCCGUCGGUGCGCGCUCUCUGUCUCUCUCUCGACUCGUCCCUUGGCUCUCUCUCACUCUUAGUCACAUCUUUAAGUCUCUUAGAGUCGCGCGAGACUCAUUCUCUUUCUCCAAACCGAACCAAACAUCAUCCAAUUUUAUUGGUUUUUGGAGCGAAUCCUUGUAAAUUCUGGAGGGCUCUGGUUCAUUCUAAGUAGUUGUGCUUAGUCUCUGUGGGUUUGGAUUAAUAGGCAAAAUUGAAGAUGCGAGGGGGCAGAAGUGGAGGAGGUGCGGGAAAAAGCAAAGUACUGGGCAGUGCUGUAGGCUUCUGUUUCUCCUAUUUUGGGGAAUUCAUCUCUUUCAACCAUUUUGCUUGAUUGGGCUGCAGUGUCUUCAUUAGGAUUGUUUUUCUCAUAGUUGUAAAUGUCGGUACUAGUUUUCUUGUUUCCUUCUAUUAUUGCUGGAAUACUUGUCCACUUUUCUGUAUGGUUUUUUAAUGAAAAAAAAAUUUCUCCCUUUCUUUAAAAAAA